rnacentral:rRNA from 1 species
GGCUUAACCUUCGGGAGGGCGCUUACCACUUUGUGAUUCAUGACUGGGGUGAAGUCGUAACAAGGUAACCGUAGGGGAACCUGCGGUUGGAUCACCUCCUUACCUUAAAGAA